UCAGGCCUAACACAUGCAAGUCGAGCGGGGUUUUCGGACCUAGCGGCGGACGGGUGAGUAAUGCGUAGGAAGCUACCCGAUAGAGGGGGAUACCAGUUGGAAACGACUGUUAAUACCGCAUAAUGUCUACGGACCAAAGUGUGGGACCUUCGGGCCACAUGCUAUCGGAUGCGCCUACGUGGGAUUAGCUAGUUGGUGAGGUAAUGGCUCACCAAGGCGACGAUCUCUAGCUGGUUUGAGAGGAUGAUCAGCCACACUGGAGGUGAGACACGGUCCAGACUCCUACGGGAGGCAGCAGUGGGGAAUAUUGGACAAUGGGCGCAAGCCCGA
rnacentral:rRNA from 1 species